CUACGGGCGGCACCAGUGGGGAAUAUUGGACAAUGGGGGAAACCCUGAUCCAGCAAUGCCGCGUGUGUGAAGAAGGCCUGCGGGUUGUAAAGCACUUUCGGUUGGGAGGACUGCUUCUAGCACUAAUAUUGUUGGAAGUUGACGUUACCUUCAGAAGAAGCACCGGCUAACUCCGUGCCAGCAGCCGCGGUAAUACGGAGGGUGCAAGCGUUAAUCGGAAUUACUGGGCGUAAAGCGCGCGGAGGCGGCUAGAUCAGUCGGGUGUGAAAGCCCCGGGCUUAACCUGGGAACUGCAUCCGAUACUGUCUAGCUUGAGUACAGGAGAGGAGAGUGGAAUUCCACAUGUAGCGGUGAAAUGCGUAGAUAUGUGGAGGAACACCAAUGGCGAAGGCAGCUCUCUGGCCUGAUACUGACGCUGAGGUGCGAAAGCGUGGGGAGCAAACUGGAUUAGAUACCCUAGUAGUC
rnacentral:rRNA from 1 species